rfam:Myotis brandtii contig205840, whole genome shotgun sequence.
GGCGGUUCUUGUGUGACACAUCUCAGAAUCGGGCUCCCUCCUCUCUGGUCCCAGGUGCAUCACCCGAGAACUGCA